ACGUAGGGUCCGAGCGUUGUCCGGAAUUAUUGGGCGUAAAGAGCUCGUAGGCGGUUUGUCGCGUCUGCUGUGAAAACUCGAGGCUCAACCUCGGGCUUGCAGUGGGUACGGGCAGACUAGAGUGCGGUAGGGGAGACUGGAAUUCCUGGUGUAGCGGUGGAAUGCGCAGAUAUCAGGAGGAACACCGAUGGCGAAGGCUGGUCUCUGGGCCGCAACUGACGCUGAGGAGCGAAAGCAUGGGGAGCGAACAGGA
rnacentral:rRNA from 1 species